AUGGGCGUUCAUUCACUGUCAACACCGAGCAGCGAGCACCACUGGAUGCCCUCUCCACAGGAGCUCCUAUAUAUGGCGACAUCCGACGAACAGGCUCGCGAGGACCGACAGGAUAUCAAGGACGAACAACUGGCUCACAAGGACGACGAACAGGCUGAGAAGGAGUACGCCGAUUUCGAGGCGAGGGUCAGGAGGACGAUAUACAUCGAUCACCUCUCCCCCCUGAUCACCGCCCAGGUCAUCAAGGCGUCUCUCGCCCAGUGCGCCAACGUCGUCAGCACCGAGUUCAUUCAGAACUACACGAUCCAGUACGAGAUCCCCGCCGCUGCGUUGGUCGAGGUGGACAACGUGUCGCAGGCCCAGGCUGCUGUGGACCUGAUGAACAACUUCCCUUUCAUGCUCGGCGGGAUGCCCAGGCCUGUGAGGGCCGUCUUUGCAAAGCCCGACAUGUUUCCGGAUCGCCCUAGGAAGCCUGGCUUGAAGAUUGAGUUCAGCUGGGUCAAGCAAGGAGAUCCAGGGUAUGAUGGGAUGAAUAAGCUCAAGGGCCUCGCCAGGAGGCAAGAAGCAGAAAAUAUGGCACUUAUCAAGAAUCAGUUGGAAGAGGAGAAGGAGCUGGCGGCGCAGCAGCAGGAAACCCUGGAAGCAAGCAAUAGCAAGUACGACAUGCUCGAGAAACUCAUGACUGACGGGGACAUUACUAAACUCGCUCAGCAUUACAAGGUCAAGCUGGGAGACGACUGA
rnacentral:rRNA from 1 species